GGUUACACUUAGGGGCCGAGUAAAAAUGAGUAAGUUGUCUAGUUAAAUUGAUAUGGAUUGGAAGUGUAUCCUCACUUUACCAAAAGGUGAAAUUUAUUGGGUAAUGUGUUACGUGAGGAGAUAUUAGGGUUUAUUCUAAUUGAGGCUAGGGAGGUUUGGGUAUGGACUAGGAUUAGACACCCUACUACACCAAAAGCAAAUAAAGGGGACUAGAGUAGUAAAAAUUAAUUUGUUCAAAAUUCAAAGAAUUUGGCGGUAUUUUAGUCUAGUUAGAGGAACCUGUUUUAUAAACGAUAAUCCACGUAAUAUCUUUCUUGCUCUUGUUGUAAGUUAGUAUACCUUCAUUAUUAGACAAUUUAUCGAUAAAAAUUGUUAGAAUUAAACAAAUUUAAGUAUAUUAGAUCACGGUGCUGCUUAUGAGCAAGUAAAAAUGGGUUACAAUGGGAGUUUACCCACGACGGAUAAAGAAGAGAAUCUCUUUUUUUUAAGGCGGAUUUAAUUGUAAUUUGAAGUUUAAUAUGCUUGGAUGAUAUUAGCUCUAAAAUGUGUACAUAUUGCCCGUCGCUUUCAUCAAAUCAGGUGAGAUAAGUC
rnacentral:rRNA from 1 species